rnacentral:rRNA from 1 species
UUUGAGAUUUUGAUCCUGGCUCAGAUUGAACGCUGGCGGCAUGCCUUACACAUGCAAGUCGAACGGCAGCACGGGCUUCGGCCUGGUGGCGAGUGGCGAACGGGUGAGUAAUACAUCGGAACGUGCCCUGUCGUGGGGGAUAACUAGUCGAAAGAUUAGCUAAUACCGCAUACGACCUGAGGGUGAAAGCGGGGGACCGCAAGGCCUCGCGCGACAGGAGCGGCCGAUGUCAUGAUUAGCUAGUUGGUGGGGUAAAAGCCUACCAAGGCGACGAUCAGUAGCUGGUCUGAGAGGACGAUCAGCCACACUGGGACUGAGACACGGCCCAGACUCCUACGGGAGGCAGCAGUGGGGAAUUUUGGACAAUGGGGGCAACCCUGAUCCAGCAAUGCCGCGUGUGUGAAGAAGGCCUUCGGGUUGUAAAGCACUUUUGUCCGGAAAGAAAUGGCUCUGGUUAAUACCCGGGGUCGAUGACGGUACCGGAAGAAUAAGCACCGGCUAACUACGUGCCAGCAGCAGGUAAUAAA